rnacentral:rRNA from 1 species
GAUGAACGCUGGCGGCGUGCCUAAUACAUGCAAGUCGAGCGAACGGACGAGAAGCUUGCUUCUCUGAUGUUAGCGGCGGACGGGUGAGUAACACGUGGAUAACCUACCUAUAAGACUGGGAUAACUUCGGGAAACCGUAGCUAAUACCGGAUAAUAUUUUGAACCGCAUGGUUCAAAAGUGAAAGACGCUCUUGCUGUCACUUAUAGAUGGAUCCGCGCUGCAUUAGCUAGUUGGUAAGGUAACGGCUUACCAAGGCAACGAUGCAUAGCCGACCUGAGAGGGUGAUCGGCCACACUGGAACUGAGACACGGUCCAGACUCCUACGGGAGGCAGCAGUAGGGAAUCUUCCGCAAUGGGCGAAAGCCUGACGGAGCAACGCCGCGUGAGUGAUGAAGGUCUUCGGAUCGUAAAACUCUGUUAUUAGGGAAGAACAUAUGUGUAAGUAACUGUGCACAUCUUGACGGUACCUAAUCAGAAAGCCACGGCUAACUACGUG